rnacentral:rRNA from 1 species
UACGUAGGGUGCAAGCGUUGUCCGGAAUUAUUGGGCGUAAAGCGCUCGCAGGUGGUCCGUCGCGUCGUGCGUGAAAGACCCCGGCUCAACUGGGGAGGGUCGUGCGAUACGGGCGGACUGGAGGCCAGUAGGGGGGUGCGGAAUUCCGGGUGUAGUGGUGGAAUGCGUAGAGAUCCGGAGGAACACCAGCGGCGAAGGCGGCAUCCUGGACUGGUCCUGACACUCAGGAGCGAAAGCGUGGGGAGCGAUCCGG